rnacentral:rRNA from 1 species
UACAGAGGUCCCAAGCGUUGUUCGGAUUCACUGGGCGUAAAGGGCGCGUAGGCGGCUUGGCAAGUGGAAGGUGAAAUCCCUCGGCUUAACCGAGGAACUGCCCUCCAAACUGCUUCGCUUGAGACCGGGAGAGGUGAGUGGAAUUCCCAGUGUAGCGGUGAAAUGCGUAGAUAUUGGGAGGAACACCAGUGGCGAAGGCGGCUCACUGGACCGGAACUGACGCUGAUGCGCGAAAGCGUGGGGAGCAAACGGG